rnacentral:lncRNA from 1 species
UAAAAAGAGAUAAAUAUAUUUAGCUUUUAUGUUUCAACAAAUACAUAAUAAUAUAUAAUUUACAGAUAGUAAGCUACUAAACCUUAUCCAGUGGGCCUACAAUUAAGCUACUCAAGGCAUAAUAGCCAAUGAAGAAAAUGGUCACCAAAGUCACUGGAUAAUCAUACUUAUACCAUUGGUGGCUUUUACAAAAAGACCCAAAAUCAACACCAAGAUUACACAACACGGAUUAAUCACAAAGGCAUCAAGUUCUCAUUGAUUGGGCUCAAAUUAACCUUGUACCUGUCUGCACAAAGUGUAUAAACUCAAAAGACACAGCCCUAAACCAAAGAAUAUAGAGGCAGUCACUAAAAUGGUCCCAAAAUCUCCAAACUUAAUAGAAACCCUUUUCCAGUUCAAACUGAAGAAUUACCAAGACUCCUCACUCACAAAUUUACCAGAAAACCAGGAGUUUAAAAGCCAAAAAACAAGUUUCACAAAGAAGAUAGGGAGAGACGCACAGUCACUUGAAAAAGAAGAGACCCAGAAACUUCUCAAAGAAGCACUGCAAGAGACGAGAAAAUGAAAGACCAAGUAGGGCAAAAGUCUUAGACCAAGAAUAUAUAGGCAAGGUCGUCACCAUAGAUGCUAGGUUUAGGAGAUUUGAGGGACCAAAGCGACAUACAUGUAUUAUCAAGUUUGG